CCUACGGGAGGCAGCAGUGAGGAAUAUUGGUCAAUGGGCGGGAGCCUGAACCAGCCAAGCCGCGUGAGGGAAGAAGGUACAGCGUAUCGUAAACCUCUUUUGUCAGGGAACAAAGGCGGGGACUAGUCCCCGAAUGAGGGUACCUGAAGAAAAAGCAUCGGCUAACUCCGUGCCAGCAGCCGCGGUAAUACGGGGGAUGCGAGCGUUAUCCGGAUUUAUUGGGUUUAAAGGGUGCGCGGGCGGCCUGUUAAGUCAGCGGUAAAAACCCGGGGCUCAACCCCGGCGAGCCGUUGAAACUGGCGGGCUGGAGUUGGAGAGAGGUACGCGGAAUGCGCGGUGUAGCGGUGAAAGGCUUAGAUAUCGCGCAGAACCCCGAUUGCGAAGGCAGCGUACCGGCUCCACACUGACGCUGAGGCACGAAAGCGUGGGUAUCGAACAGGAUUAGAUACACCGGUAGUC
rnacentral:rRNA from 1 species